rnacentral:rRNA from 1 species
UACGGAGGGGGCAAGCGUUGUUCGGAAUUACUGGGCGUAAAGGGCUCGUAGGCGGCCAACUAAGUCAGACGUGAAAUCCCUCGGCUUAACCGGGGAACUGCGUCUGAUACUGGAUGGCUUGAGUUUGGGAGAGGGAUGCGGAAUUCCAGGUGUAGCGGUGAAAUGCGUAGAUAUCUGGAGGAACACCGGUGGCGAAGGCGGCAUCCUGGACCAACACUGACGCUGAGUGAGCGAAAGCCAGGGGAGCAAACGGG